GACGAACGCUGGCGGCGUGGAUUAGGCAUGCAAGUCGAACGGUAUCAUCCUUUCGGGGGUGAGAGAGUGGCGAACUGGUGAGUAACACGUAGGUUAUCUACCCUCAAGACGGGGACAACCCAGGGAAACUUGGGCUAAUACCGGAUGUGAGCAACUUUUAGUUGUUUGAAAGGUGGCGUAAGCUGUCGCUUGGGGAUGAGCCUGCGUCCUAUUAGUUAGUUGGUGAGGUAACGGCUCACCUAGGCAAUGAUAGGUAGGCGGCCUUAACGGGUGGUCGCCCACACUGGGAUUGAGAUACGGCCCAGACUCCUACGGGAGGCAGCAGUCGAGAAUAGUCUACAAUGGUCGGAAGACUGAUAGUGCGACGCCGCGUGAACGAUGAAUCCCUUCGGGGUGUAAAGUUCUUUUAUAUGUGAGCAGUGCUUCUUAUAUUAACAGUAUGGGGAAGAGAUAUUAGCAUAUGAAUAAGCAACGGCUAACUCCGUGCCCAGCAGCCGCGGUAAGCU
rnacentral:rRNA from 1 species